rnacentral:rRNA from 1 species
CUUUGAGUGAUCAGUGGCGAACGGGUGAGUAACACGUGAGCAACCUACCCUUGACUCCGGGAUAACAGCUGGAAACAGCUGCUAAUACCGGAUACGACCUCGACCGACAUCAGUUGAGGUGGAAAGUUCUGGCGGUCAAGGAUGGGCUCGCGGCCUAUCAGCUAGUUGGUGAGGUAACGGCUCACCAAGGCUUCGACGGGUAGCCGGCCUGAGAGGGCGACCGGCCACACUGGGACUGAGAUACGGCCCAGACUCCUACGGGAGGCAGCAGUGGGGAAUAUUGCACAAUGGGCGAAAGCCUGAUGCAGCAACGCCGCGUGCGGGAUGACGGCCUUCGGGUUGUAAACCGCUUUCAGCUCCGACGAAGCGCAAGUGACGGUAGGAGCAGAAGAAGGACCGGCCAACUACGUGCCAGCAGCCGCGGUGAUACGUAGGGUCCGAGCGUUGUCCGGAAUUAUUGGGCGUAAAGGGCUUGUAGGCGGUUUGUCGCGUCGGAAGUGAAAACUCAGGGCUUAACCCUGAGCCUGCUUCCGAUACGGGCAAACUAGAGGGAUGCAGGGGAGAAUGGAAUUCCUGGUGGAGCGGUGGAAUGCGCAGAUAUCAGGAGGAACACCAGUGGCGAAGGCGGUUCUCUGGGCAUUUCCUGACGCUGAGAAGCGAAAGCGUGGGGAGCAAACAGGCUUAGAUACCCUGGUAGUCCACGCCGUAAACGGUGGGCACUAGGUGUGGGACUCAUUCCACGAGUUCCGUGCCGUAGCUAACGCAUUAAGUGCCCC